ensembl:snRNA U1 U1 spliceosomal RNA
AUACUUACCUGGCAGGGGAGAUACCAUGAUCACUAAGGUGGUUCUCCCAGGGCAAGGCUCAUCCAUUGCACUCCGGGUGUGCUGACCCCUGUGAUUUCCCCAAAUGCGGGAAACUCGACUGCAUAAUUUGUGGUUUUUAUGUGAAUUUUCCCUAGGGAUUAAUAAAG